AAAGACAUUGGAAAACAACAUAUUGAUGGUAUGUUUUGGCUAUAGUUGAACAAUUACUAUCAGAAUGAGACGAGCUCUGAAAUAUUUUCAUGGUAUCAAGCAGAAGCAAAGAAAAUAGAAAGAAACUGGAAACCCAGAGACUUGCAAUGUUGAAAAGGGAGCCUUUCCUUCUCUCCAACUUCGAUGAAGACAAGACUGAGAAGACCUAUGAUUGAUGAAGCUAGAUUAGGCUAUACCUUGCUGUGAGAGUCAAAUGAAGGCUGUAGCUGCCACAACUGCAGAAAAUAUGUGAGGGGAUUCAGGUGCAUCCUGCAGAAGUCUUCCCUUGGAAAAAAAUGCCUUAGUGAAAAGAAGCUAGGAGUAUGAAGAGUAGAUAAAAGCAUGUUUAACAAUGGUCUGUGACUAUGAACUCCUCCAAAUAAGUAACUCAAGUAAAUAAGCACCUAAAUGUUUUCAGAAAGCAGCACUACAAUUCAAGAAGCCACUGGGUGUGUACACUUCAGUGUGGCGCGUACACCAUGUGGUAAAGCCAGCGGCUAUACAGGGCUAUUGAGAAUGAGAUGUGGCUAAGUGUGAAUGAAAACAUGAAUUUAAUUUUAUCUAAAUUAACUAAAGUUUUUAUUUUAAAACAUACUAAAUAUUUGGAGUUAUGUACAACAUGCUUGUUUAGAAAGGUCAUGUUUUCUUUCGUUAAACCCUUGGAAAUUUAGCAUCA
rnacentral:lncRNA from 1 species